GAGUUUGAUCCUGGCUCAGGACGAACGCUGGCGGCGUGCUUAACACAUGCAAGUCGAACGCUGAAGCUCAGCUUUUGUUGGGUGGAUGAGUGGCGAACGGGUGAGUAACACGUGAGUAACCUGCCCUCUUCUUUGGGAUAACGCCCGGAAACGGGUGCUAAUACUGGAUAUUCACUUGCCUUCGCAUGGGGGUUGGUGGAAAGGGUUUUUUCUGGUGGGGGAUGGGCUCGCGGCCUAUCAGCUUGUUGGUGGGGUGAUGGCCUACCAAGGCUUUGACGGGUAGCCGGCCUGAGAGGGUGACCGGUCACAUUGGGACUGAGAUACGGCCCAGACUCCUACGGGAGGCAGCAGUGGGGAAUAUUGCACAAUGGGCGAAAGCCUGAUGCAGCGACGCCGCGUGAGGGAUGGAGGCCUUCGGGUUGUAAACCUCUUUCGCUCAUGGUCAAGCCGCAGCUUUGGGUUGUGGUGAGGGUAGUGGGUAAAGAAGCGCCGGCUAACUACGUGCCAGCAGCCGCGGUAAUACGUAGGGCGCGAGCGUUAUCCGGAAUUAUUGGGCAUAAAGGGCAUCUAGGCGGCCAGAUAAGUCUGGGGUGAAAACUUGCGGCUCAACCGCAAGCCUGCCCUGGAAACUAUGUGGCUAGAGUACUGGAGAGGUGGACGGAACUGCACGAGUAGAGGUGAAAUUCGUAGAUAUGUGCAGGAAUGCCGAUGAUGAAGAUAGUUCACUGGACGGUAACUGACGCUGAAGUGCGAAAGCUAGGGGAGCAAACAGGAUUAGAUACCCUGGUAGUCCUAGCUGUAAACGAUGAUUACUGGGUGUGGGCAUGAAGAGUGUCCGUGCCGAAGCUAAUGCGAUAAGUAAUCCGCCUGGGGAGUACGGCCGCAAGGCUGAAACUCAAAGGAAUUGACGGGGACCCGCACAAGCGGUGGAGCAUGUGAUUUAAUUCGACGCAACGCGAGGAACCUUACCAGAUCUUGACAUCCUGCGAAGGCCUGCGAGAGCAGGCUGUGCCUCCGGGAACGCAGAGACAGGUGGUGCAUGGCUGUCGACAGCUCGUGUCGUGAGAUGUUGGGUUAAGUCCCGCAACGAGCGCAACCCCUAUUGCUAGUUGCCAUCAUUAGGUUGGGAACUCUAGCAAGACUGCCUGCGAAGAGCAGGAGGAAGGCGGGGAUGACGUCAAGUCAUCAUGCCCCUUAUGAAUCUGGGCUACACACGUGCUACGAAUGGCCGGUACAGAGAGCCGCGAGGCGGCGAACGCCGAGCCGAAUCUUUAAAGCCGGUCCGAAGUUCGGAUUGAAGUUCUGCGAACUCGACUUUCGUGAAGCUGGAAAUCGCUAGGAAU
rnacentral:rRNA from 1 species